rnacentral:rRNA from 1 species
GAUGAACGCUAGCGGCAGGCCUAAUACAUGCAAGUCGAACGGGUGGUCGCAAGACCACUAGUGGCGCACGGGUGCGUAACGCGUAACCAACCUGCCCCGAUCUGGGGGAUAGCCCGCCGAAAGGCGGAUUAAUACCGCAUAUACCCGCAGCCUGGCAUCAGGCAACGGGGAAAGAUUUAUUGGAUCGGGAUGGGGUUGCGUGACAUUAGCUAGUUGGCGGGGUAAGGGCCCACCAAGGCGACGAUGUCUAGGGGACCUGAGAGGGUGAUCCCCCACACUGGCACUGAGAUACGGGCCAGACUCCUACGGGAGGCAGCAGUAGGGAAUAUUGGGCAAUGGGCGAGAGCCUGACCCAGCCGUGCCGCGUGCCGGAUGAAGGCCUUCUGGGUUGUAAACGGCUUUUCUCAGGGAAGAAAAAGACCUUGCGAGGUACACUGACGGUACCUGAGGAAUAAGCACCGGCUAACUCCGU